rnacentral:lncRNA from 1 species
GAUGAUGAAAUGUGUAUGCAUUGUUCUCCACUCAUGAAGGACUAAACUGUGUUAAUAAUGUGAUUGAUAUAGUUCAUGUUGUUGUUUGCUGUGUCACUGAAACUUAUUGUUUGUUUGUCUUUUUAAUUUGUUUCUUGUACUGUUGAGAUUACAUAAAUUAUAUUAAAUUUAUUGAGAGUAUCUUUUGUUUCUGGAUAUUUUGUCUCCAGUUUAGUUGUGUAAGUUGUGUGUAUUAAGUAAUAAUUUUUAUUAUCCUUAUUAUGUUUGUUAUAUGUUUUUAUUUUAUUUUUAAACUUGUUGCUCUUACCGGACUUUUAAAACAAAUACAUGAAAACUUGUAGAAAUAACAUUAAAAUGAGUGACAGUUCUGAGUAUUUGGGCUUUAAUGAGUUUCAAACGAAUUUAUGUAUUUCUCAUAAGAAGACAAUAGCAUUGGCCUGUUGACAUUGGGCACGUAAGCUAUUUUUAUAAGAUAAGAGGAGUGAGCAGGUGGAGCUGUUGUUGCCGCCUUUGUGUAUGUCGGGAUUGUCUCUUGUAUCUCCUGUUGUGGCUGUGUUUGUUUAUCUUUUAUUUGAUGGGUAAUAUGUAAACAAAAAUCAUUGUUAGUUGUAUUUAUUAGAGUUCAUAACUUACUCUGUUUUUUUUGUUUAGGUAAUUUCAGUGAUAUUAGUUGUGGUUUUCGUCUUCAUUCCGAAAGUAAGUUUGUAAAUUAUUAAAUAGCUGGUCAUGUAGUUUGUAUUUGUUUGGCUGACUCGAUGUAUGUGUCGUUGCGAAAAUAAGUUUGUAAAUUGUUAAAUAGCUGCCGGUGUAGUUUGUAUUUGUUUAGCUAACUCGAUGUAUGUGUCGUUGAGUAUUAGUUGAGGUGAUUGGUUUGGUAUAUUUGUUUUGAAGUUUAUUUCUAAAAUUAGACAAAAAAGAGAGGUGAUCAUUAAUGAUUCGUCUGU